rnacentral:rRNA from 1 species
UGAAUACGAGGCGCUAAGGCGUCGAAGUAGUGUAUGUCAUACUUCCAAGAAAAGCUUGCACUGUCAUAAGUAAAAAAUGCCUGUACCAUAACCGACACAGGUGGGUAGGUAGAGUAUACUAAGGGGCGCGAGAUAACUCUCUCUAAGGAACUCGGCAAAAUAACUCCGUAACUUCGGGAGAAGGAGUACCUUAUUCUAUAAGCUUGCAAUAACAAGAUCCAAGCAACUGUUUAUCAAAAACACAGGUCUCCGCUAAGUCGUAAGACGAUGUAUGGGGGCUUACGCCUGCCCAGUGCCAGAAGGUUAAAGAAGUCGGUUAGCAUUAGCGAAGCUGGUAACUGAAGCCCUGGUGAACGGCGGCCGUAACUAUAACGGUCCUAAGGUAGCGAAAUUCCUUGUCGGGUAAGUUCCGACCCGCACGAAAGGCGUAAUGAUUUGGAUACUGUCUCGGAGAGGGGCUCGGUGAAAUAGACUUGUCUGCGAAGAUGCGGACUACCUGCACCAGGACAGAAAGACCCUAUGAAGCUUUACUGUAACUUGAAAUUGAAAUUGGACUUUAUUCGCGCAGUAUAGGUGGGAGGUGUUGAUUAUAAUCUUGCGGGAUUAUUGGAGCCAUCAGUGAGAUACCACUCUUGUAAUGUUAGAUUUCUAACUUUGAAUCAUUAUCUGGUCAAAGGACAGUUUCAGGCGGGCAGUUUGACUGGGGCGGUCGCCUCCCAAACGGUAACGGAGGCGUACAAAGGUUUCCUCUGAACGGGUAGAAAUCGUAUCUGGAGUGUAAAGGCAUAAGGAAGCUUGACUGUGAGACCUACAAGUCGAACAGGGACGAAAGUCGGUCUUAGUGAUCUGACGGUACUGAGUGGAAAGGCCGUCACUCAACGGAUAAAAGUUACUCUAGGAUAACAGGCUGAUCUCCCCCAAGAGUUCACAUCGACGGGGAGGUUUGGCACCUCGAUGUCGGCUCAUCGCAUCCUGGGGCGGUAGUACGUCCCAAGGGUUGGGCUGUUCGCCCAUGAAAGCGGUACGCGAGCUGGGUUCAGAACGUCGUGAGACAGUUCGGUCCAUAUCCGGUGUAGGCGUUAGAAUAUUGAGAGGAGCCUUCUUUAGUACGAGAGGACCGAGAAGGACAUACCUCUGGUGUACCAGUUGUCGUGCCAACGGUAAACGCUGGGUAGCUAUGUAUGGAGUGGAUAACCGCUGAAAGCAUCUAAGUGGGAAGCCCACCUCAAGAUAAGUA